rnacentral:lncRNA from 1 species
AUUCGAAUUGCAUGAUUGCCCUCUAUGAUUUGCAGAUAAAUUACCUUUAGCUUGCAACUUAUAGCAAUCUGUUUUAAUGUAUCCUUUCCUCCUGCAGUUGAAGCAGUACAAAUUGCUGAAGGUCGUCCUCAAUCUACCCCUUCGUCGAUCACCAUGAGAUACCAAAGUUUCCCCAUCCCUCAAUGUAGUUCCAACCAAAUGCUUCAUCAUCUCCUUUGAGAGCAGAGCAUCGUAAAUAUCCUCAAUGGUCAAAAUAUCACGACUGUACAAGAUGGUGUCCCGAAAUGACAAAUAAGAGGCGAGCAACGAACACGAUAGGAUCAAGGCUGGGUCUUCCUCAUCGUAUUUAACCUCUAAUGUCUCUAAAUCUACAACUAUUUCAUUGAACACAGUAAUGUGGUCUUCCAGUGACCUUUUUUCUGCUAUACGAUGGGAAUACAGCUUUUGCUUUAGAGCCAAUUUGCUUAUGA